rnacentral:rRNA from 1 species
CCUACGGGUGGCAGCAGUGAGGAAUAUUGGUCAAUGGACGAUAGUCUGAACCAGCCAAGUAGCGUGAAGGAUGACUGCCCUAUGGGUUGUAAACUUCUUUUAUAUGGGAAUAAAACGUUCCACGUGUGGGAUUUUGUAUGUACCAUAUGAAUAAGGAUCGGCUAACUCCGUGCCAGCAGCCGCGGUAAUACGGAGGAUCCGAGCGUUAUCCGGAUUUAUUGGGUUUAAAGGGAGCGUAGGUGGAUUGUUAAGUCAGUUGUGAAAGUUUGCGGCUCAACCGUAAAAUUGCAGUUGAAACUGGCAGUCUUGAGUACAGUAGAGGUGGGCGGAAUUCGUGGUGUAGCGGUGAAAUGCUUAGAUAUCACGAAGAACUCCGAUUGCGAAGGCAGUUCACUGGACUGCAACUGACACUGAGGCUCGAAAGUGUGGGUAUCAAACAGGAUUAGAUACCCCAGUAGUC